AACCCUUGACAUACUUGUCGCGGAUUCCAGAGAUGGAUUCCUUCAGUUCGGCUGGACAAUGUACAGGUGCUGCAUGGCUGUCGUCAGCUCGUGUCGUGAGAUGUUCGGUUAAGUCCGGCAACGAGCGCAACCCACGUCCUUAGUUACCAGCAUUUAGUUGGGUACCCUAAGGAGACUGCCGGUGAUAAGCCGGAGGAAGGUGUGGACGACGUCAAGUCAUCAUGGCCCUUACGGGUUGGGCUACACACGUGCUACAAUGGCAUCUACAGUGAGUUAAUCUCCAAAAGAUGUCUCAGUUCGGAUUGGGGUCUGCAACUCGACCCCAUGAAGUUGGAAUCGCUAGUAAUCGCGGAACAGCAUGCCGCGGUGAAUACGUUCCCGGGCC
rnacentral:rRNA from 1 species